rnacentral:rRNA from 1 species
UACGUAGGGAGCAAGCGUUGUCCGGAAUCAUUGGGCGUAAAGGGCGCGUAGGCGGCUACGCACGUCCGUUGUGAAAUCGCUCGGCUCAACUGGGCGGGGUCAGCGGAUACGGUGUAGCUGGAGCAAGCUAGGGGGCAAUGGAAUUCCCGGUGUAGUGGUGGAAUGCGUAGAUAUCGGGAGGAACACCAGUGGCGAAGGCGGUUGCCUGGAGCUUUGCUGACGCUGAUGCGCGAAAGCGUGGGGAGCGAGUCCGG